UACAGAGGGUGCGAGCGUUAAUCGGAAUUACUGGGCGUAAAGCGCGCGUAGGCGGCUUUGCAAGUCGGGUGUGAAAUCCCCAGGCUUAACCUGGGAACUGCAUUCGAGACUGCAUUGCUAGAGUAUGGGAGAGGGAAGUGGAAUUUCCGGUGUAGCGGUGAAAUGCGUAGAUAUCGGAAGGAACAUCAGUGGCGAAGGCGACCUCCUGGACCAAUACUGACACUCAAGUGCGAAAGCGUGGGGAGCAAACAGG
rnacentral:rRNA from 1 species